ensembl:misc_RNA Metazoa_SRP Metazoan signal recognition particle RNA
GCUGGGCGUGGUGGCGGGUGCCUGUAAUCCCAGCUACUUGGGAGGCUGAGGCAGAAGAAUCGCUUGAACCCGGGAGGCAGAGGUUGCAGUGAGCCGAGAUCACCCCACUGCAUUCCAGCCUGGGGGACAGAGCGAGACUCUGUCUCAA